CUUACAGUUAUUUGUCAGCCUUGCUCCAGAUAUCGUGAGUUUUUGCGAUGGCUUUGCAGUAUAAAACAUGGCUUCGACCAAGAUGUUGCAUAGUUUGACGUAAAACCGCAACAGAAACUACCAACAUGCCUGCCCCUUGUGAACCGUGUAAAGAAUCCUGCAAGGGUGGUGCUUGCGCAGAUAACUGUGCCUGCAAAGAUAAAGGCUGUGACGACUGCACUUCUAAAGGUGGUUGCUGCUAACCCCAUAACUUCACCAUGGACUCGGACAGGCGCGGUCGCCGCCCCUCUCUCUUCACCCGCGCCAGCAACUUCUUAGAGACCUGCUUCCCCAUCACGUUCACUGUAGUCUUCUUUGUAACCCUCGUGUUCUUCUACUGUCUAAUAUAAUGUCUUGUUGAAGUUAUUUCUUGUGUUUUUUUGUGGAGCCUUUUUGUUUACCUACUCUUGUUUGAUGCUAGUUUGAGUGACUGGUGGCUGCUGCUAACUUCAGCAUGGACUCUCUCUUCACCCGCGCCAGCAACUUCUUAGAGACCUACUUCCCCAUCACGUUCACUGUAGUCUUCUUUGUAACACUCGUGUUCUUCUACUGUCUAAUAUAAUGUCCUGUUGAAGUUA